rnacentral:rRNA from 1 species
GACGAACCGAGCGAACGUUGUUCGGAAUCACUGGGCUUAAAGGGCGCGUAGGCGGGUUGUCAAGUCAGGGGUGAAAGCCUCCAGCUCAACUGGAGAAGUGCCUUUGAUACUGAUGAUCUUGAGGGAGGUAGGGGCAUGUGGAACUUCCGGUGGAGCGGUGAAAUGCGUAGAUAUCGGAAGGAACGCCGGUGGCGAAAGCGACGUGCUGGACCUCUUCUGACGCUGAGGCGCGAAAGCUAGGGGAGCGAACGGG